UGUUGUGCCUUAUAAUAGCUGCCCUGGUCAGGGUGUCUGUUCACAGCAAUGGAAACCUAACUAAGACAAGGAGGGCCUUGGUUUGAUUUCUGCAGCUUGAGUUCUGUGGCUGCUGAUCCUGGCUCCCUGAAGGGCACACUGAGCGAGCAGGUUGACCGGGAAGUUGAUCAACACUUUCUGCCAGAGCCCAGAACCACCAGUCCAGUCAUGACCCCGCCCACAAUAGGUUGUACUCUUCCCACAUCAAUCACUAAGAAGAUGCUCUACAGCCCCAACUCAUGGAAGCAUUUUCUCAAUUGUUCCAUGACUCUAGCCAGGAUCAAGUUGAUCUACAGCUAGCCAGCACAGCAAGUGAGUGACACUGUCAAUAGGACAAAACGACAACCAACAAAUUGGGAAAAGAUCUUUACCAAUCCUACAUCUGAUA